CUCCAGCAGCGUCUCGUUUACAUUUGAGCACAAAAGUGUUCAAAGUCUCCUACAUUUGUUUUUGUACGGGACAUUGCACUUGCUUCCUGAGGGCGUUUGGACUUUUACUGCGGAAAAUGUAGACAUGGGUGAGCUGGAGCCAGUCUAGAGGAAUAUGUCCCACAGGGUCUUUGCACAGUAACGACUUGUGCAGUCACAAUUUUAAAUACUUUUCAAAAUACAGUAAAUAUUGGUAUGAAAUGGAUGAGGACCAAAGUAUUAGCCGCAGUCUGACUAUCGUGGAACUAAACACAACUGAGCAGAACAUAAGCGCAGGGAUGUGGGUGGAAACUGGAGUGCCCGGAGAAAACCCACACAGGCACGAGGAGAACAUGCAAAAUCCACACAGGAGGGGCCAGGAUCGAACCCGGGCCCUCAGAACUGUGAGGCCAACGCUUUAACAGCUGAUCCACCGUUCCGCCUAUAGUACAAUUCAUUUUACAAAACAAAAAAUAUGAAAAUAAGAGCAUUUAAGACAGAAAGUUGUUAUUGAGUAAUCCUUUUGAAGUGUGAUACUGAAACGUCAAGAGCUUUUAUUUAAUUAUGGUGUUCACAUGCAUGCUGAUGAUUGCACUUAUUGAUUAGCUAAUUCAAGGAGCAACACCAUAAUACUUACCCCUUACAUCCUUAAUGUUCUCUUUUCUUAAUUAGUGUGUCAAUAGCAUGACUUCCCCCGCAGAGGAGAAAAGCCCACAAUACAACCAAACACACAGUUCUUCAAGUGAAUAUGUUGCUUCAGCCGUUUGUUUCCAAAACUGCUCUAAUUGUCGUUUCCGUGUUAUACAUGCACAUGUUUUAAGUCGUUCCUUGUUCUAGUUAUUCAAAAGUACAGCACAACCCAAAAAAACAAUGGUGCAAAACUGGGCUGGUGUUCAACAAAGUGCACAUGGAUUACAGAGUCACACCACUAAAAAAGAAGCUGGUAGCGUUGUCGGGAUAGAGGAGUUCUGUGAUGUAUGGUGUCCCCAGGGCAUGAAAGGAUUUAUAAAUUAGGGGGAGAAGUUUAAAGACUACUCAGAUUUUGAUAGGGAGCCAGUAAAGAUUCUUCAGAGUGUGGGUGAUGUCUGGCGUCUACUCUUUCUAAGUAUGCAUGCAGGACAGUUGCACUUGUUGCAGUAGUCCAAAUGAGUAGGGAUUAAGGCAAAUUAAUUCUAACAUGCAUGCUUUGGAAUGUAGUAGAAUGUCAGAGUACCCAAAAAAAACACACACACACACACAGUCACAAGCACGGGGAGAACUCCUGACUGUGAGGAAAAACAUUCUAACCACUUCUUUCCCAUGGUUUGUUUCAGUGCCCAAUUCCUCUAUUUUACGACAUGUUAUUGUUCUUUGCUUACACUUUAGUUGUGAUUUACUGCGAUUGUGUUGCUGCUCUGUUUCAAUGGAUACACACCGUCCAGGUGGAAUGAUGGCAACACUGACUAGUCAGCCUCUCCCACCCCUUUGGAUUUUCCACAAAUUAGGAGCUCUGGUUGUACUUCUUGCAUGAAAAGUAUUAAACAUAGCCCUUGUCAAAUUAGGUUAUAAAAAAAUUUCUAAGUUGAGUUUAAAAGGAAAAUCUUGCUGAGUGUGAAUGAAGCAACGAAACAAAGGUGAGGAAGCCUGCAACAGUUUUUUUCAAACAGAGGGAGAAAAUGAUGCUUUAAUCCCAUUUUAGGGAAUGUAGCUCACAUAAAAACAAUGACCAAAACAUGAAAAUCUGAUAUAAUUCUGAAAGAAAACUCUCAGAUCUGAAAUAAAUGGAAGAGUUUACGUCAACUGGUUACUGAAUGAGAGAUGGUCCCUUUUUGUAUGCUGGACGGGAAAUCUUUGAUCUGGAUUCCGUCACGGAAGCAUGUGAAUGUUGACUGCAUCAAGUUUAUUACAGCUUCGGUUCCUAAAGCGCAGCCAGACUGCAGCGGACCAUCAAAAGAAUUAUGAUACCUUCGGUGACAAGAGGAAUCAUGUAAUACAUGUUAGGCCUGACCUUUCCACUCCAUCCUUAUUGAUUGAAUACAGAGCCUCAUAUUAUAUUGGGUACUGGCUCCUAUUUCACUCCAAGUGCUCCCUCCUCUUUUUUAUUUCUUUCUUGGGUUACAUCCUUACUUGGAACGUCCCGUGUUUCCUGACAAUAACCAUCUGAGCAUUAUAUGCUCACCUACACACAUUAUACAUACUUGGCUCGAGACCUUUGAAUUUUUGCUUUACCAACAUGACACAAAAUCUAUGCAUUCAGCACCAUAUCAGGAUUCCUCCGUGGAACCGAUGAAGUAUCGUUUCAGAAUGGAAAAUGGUCACAAGACAGCACAGUACUGUAAAGGUACACAAAACGAACCCAAGUGUCGGGAUAGCUCGCCAUGACAACAGGAGGAAGUGAAAAUUGACCCCAAAAAGUA